GAGAGUUUGAUUAUGGCUCAGGACGAACGCUGGCGGCGUGCCUAAUACAUGCAAGUAGAACGCUGAAGGAGGAGCUUGCUCUUCUGGAUGAGUUGCGAACGGGUGAGUAACGCGUAGGUAACCUGCCUGGUAGCGGGGGAUAACUAUUGGAAACGAUAGCUAAUACCGCAUAAUAGUAGAUGUUGCAUGACAUUUGCUUAAAAGGUGCAAUUGCAUCACUACCAGAUGGACCUGCGUUGUAUUAGCUAGUUGGUGGGGUAACGGCUCACCAAGGCGACGAUACAUAGCCGACCUGAGAGGGUGAUCGGCCACACUGGGACUGAGACACGGCCCAGACUCCUACGGGAGGCAGCAGUAGGGAAUCUUCGGCAAUGGACGAAAGUCUGACCGAGCAACGCCGCGUGAGUGAAGAAGGUUUUCGGAUCGUAAAGCUCUGUUGUAAGAGAAGAACGAGUGUGAGAGUGGAAAGCUCACACUGUGACGGUAUCUUACCAGAAAGGGACGGCUAACUACGUGCCAGCAGCCGCGGUAAUACGUAGGUCCCGAGCGUUGUCCGGAUUUAUUGGGCGUAAAGCGAGCGCAGGCGGUUAGAUAAGUCUGAAGUUAAAGGCUGUGGCUUAACCAUAGUACGCUUUGGAAACUGUUUAACUUGAGUGCAAGAGGGGAGAGUGGAAUUCCAUGUGUAGCGGUGAAAUGCGUAGAUAUAUGGAGGAACACCGGUGGCGAAAGCGGCUCUCUGGCUUGUAACUGACGCUGAGGCUCGAAAGCGUGGGGAGCAAACAGAUUAGAUACCCUGGUAGUCCACGCCGUAAACGAUGAGUGCUAGGUGUUAGACCCUUUCCGGGUUUAGUGCCGUAGCUAACGCAUUAAGCACUCCGCCUGGGGGAGUACGACCGCAAGGUUGAAACUCAAAGGAAUUGACGGGGUCCGCACAAGCGGUGGGAGCAUGUGGUUAUUCGAGCACGCGAGACUACAGUCUGACAUCCUCUGACGUCUAGAAAUAGAGUUUCUCGACAGUGACGUGUGCAUGCUGUCUCAGCUCAUCUGGAGUUGGUUAGUCCGCACAGGCCAACCCCAUGUAGUGCAUAUAUGACUUAGCGACGUGCGUAACGAAAGUGGAGAGUCAUCUCAUGUGCCUGUAACCUGGGGGUACCACACGGUA
rnacentral:rRNA from 1 species